CCUUCUCCGCCUCGAGUUGCUUCUUCCUCUUCCUCGCAUGGCCGCCUCUGCCGCGGCCAUUGCCUCGCUGCCCCCGUAGCCACCGAGCUCACCACGCCCAGCCACCUCGUCUACGAGCUUCGCCGACGUCCACUCCUUCGACUACGUCCACCAGUUGGAGCCGGUAGCCCCUGGAUCGCAGGGAUCGAUGUCGUCUUCAACCUCCAGCCACCGCGACAUCAUCGACGAAUUCAUCGCCGUCGCUCCACAACCCGACCUUCCCGAGCUCACCUACGACAUCGCGGUGAGGUCCUCACCCGAUUCCCGCUCUUCCCUGCUCGAUCCAUGCCAGUAGCCGUCGUUCACCACAGUACUCCGGUCGCUGUUGUUCCUCGUCGCCUCUUGCUCCGGCCACCUCCACUGCUGCGCUACUGUUGCUACUGUCGUGUAUGCCCGUUCGCUGCUACAGCCUGCGCUCCCCUGCGCAUGCCUGCCCCGCGCCCUCACCCCAACGGCCGCGCGCCCCGCCGGCGCUGUCCGCGGCCUCGCUCCCCUGCUGCCCGCUGUUGUGUUGCUGCUGUUACUACUUGUUCUGCUGCUGUUGGCGCUACUGUCUCCUGCUGUCCGCUCCUGCCUGCAGCCGACCCUGCGCCAGCCUGCCAUGCCCAGGUGCGCCCCGCUUUCUUGCCUUCCUCUCCCCGGCGUUGUGCCUACCUUAGCCAACGCCAUGGCCAGGCCUUGGCCGCCGCACAUAUGCGUGCGUGCGUUCGUUCCCAGCCGUGAGAGGCCGGCUGGCUCACAGCCUAUGGGAUAGCCCAUUUAGUUUAGGACUAAUUGCUUAUUAGCUAUAGGUCAAUUAGUGUUAGAUCAGUAGUGGGCCAUUGAUAUGUCGGCCCUGGGAUAAUUAAACUAUUUUUUCUAACUAAAAAAUAAUAAUAACUCAAUGACAGCUGGGACCCACAAUUAUUGUUCACCUUUGACUAGUCAAUGUUGACCGGGCUGACUUAGCGGUUACUGGGGCCCACUGGCCCCACCUGUCAUCCACUGUGGCUAGUCCAAACCUAGGUACACAUAAUAAUUUUAGCUAUUUAAAUUCGAAUUAAAUUAAUUCUAGAAAAUUAGAAAAUCUUUUAAAAACUUUAAAAAUUAAUAUAAAAUAAACCGUAGCUCACAUGGAAAAGCUUUGUAGAUGAUAGUUGCUCAGAACGACAAGACGAAUCCAGAUACGCAACCUGUUCGUCUGCCACGCAUUCCUAGCAUAGUGAACCCGCAACAUUUCACCUCCGGUUCAUCUGUCCGAAAACGCGAAACACUGGGGAUACUUUCCCGGAUGUUUCUCCCUUUCGCCGGUACCACCUACUAACGCGUUAGGGCACACCUAAGUAUCGCUCAUUGUCAUGUCAUCCAUCGUCAUGCUUAUGUUUGCAUUGUAUUUAUUGUUUCUUCCCCUCUUAUCUCUGGUAGACUACGAGACCGACGAUGUUGCUGCCCAGUUCGACUACGGAGUUGAUGACCCCUCCUCCUUGCCAGAGCAACCAGGCAAGCCCCCCCUUGAUCACCAGAUAUCACCUAUUCUUCUCUCUACUGCUUGCAUUAGAGUAGUAUAGCAUGUUACUGUUUCGAUUGAUCCUAUUCGGAUGCAUAGCCUGUCAUUGUUGCUACAGUUGUUGAUACCUUACCCGCAAUCCUAAAUGCUUAGUAUAGGAUGCUAGCUUAUCAUCAUUGGCCCUACAUUCUUAUCAGUCUGCCUUGCUAUACUAUCGGGCUGUGAUCACUCAGGAGGUGAUCAUGGGUAUAUGCAAUACAUACCUACAUAUUAUACAGAUGGUGACUAAAGUCGUGUUGGCUCGUUGAGUACCCGGAAGUGAUUCCGAUGUGGGGGCUGAAAGGACAGGUGGCUCCAUCCCGGUAGAGGUGGGCCUGGGUUCCCGACGGCCCCCGACUGUUACUAUGUGGCGGAGUGAUAGGGCAGGUUGAGACCACCUAGGAGAGAGGUGGGCCUGGCCCUAGUCGGCGUCCGCGGUUACUUCAAAAUAACACGCUUAACGAAUCUUGGUAUUUGAUCUGAGUCUGGCCACUGGCCUAUACGCACUAACCAACUACGCAGGAAAGAUAUGGGCACUCGACGUCGUGGUAUCAGCCGAAGCCUUCGUGACGUCAGCGACUGAGCGGCGCGCGCCGGAUUGGAACGUAAGCCUGCUCUUGUAUUAAGGGGGCUAGUUCUGCUUCUGUCCGCCCUUGCAACAUGCAGGUGUGCAAUGGGCGAUGGGCCCAGACCCCUACGCCAUAGGAUUUAGACCGGCGUGAUGACCUCUCUGUUGUGCCAAGGUAGGGCUACGACGUAUUGAUCUUCCGAGGCCGGGCAUGACCCCGAAAAGUAUGUCCGGCCAAAUGGGAUCGAGCGUGUUGGGUUAUGUGGUGCACCCCUGCAGGGAAGUUUAUCUAUUCGAAUAGCCGUGUCCCUCGGUAAAAGGACGACCCGGAGUUGUACCUUGACCUUAUGACAACUAGAACCGGAUACUUAAUAAAACACACCCAGACAAGUUGCACAGACAACCCGGUGAUCGCUUUUCCAUAGUGCGACGAGGGGAGGAUCGCCGGGUAGGAUUAUGCUAUGUGAUGCUACUUGGAGGACUUCAAUCUACUCUCUUCUACAUGCUGCAAGAUGGAGGCUGCCAGAAGUGUAGUAUUCGAUAGGACUAGCUAUCCCCCUAUUAUUCUGGCAUUCUGUAGUUCAGUCCGCCGAUAUUGCCUCUUUAUACAUAUACCCAUGCAUAUGUAGUGUAGAUCCUUGCUUGCGAGUACUUUGGAUGAGUACUCACGGUUGCUUUUCUCCCUGUUCCCCCCCCCUUUCCAUUCUACUUGGUUGUCGCAACCAUACGUUGGAGCCCAGGAUCCAGACGCUACCGUCGACGACGACUACUACACUAGAGGAGCCUACUACUACGUGGAGGCCGCUGACGACGACCAGGAGUAGUUAGGAGGAUCCCAGGCAGGAGGCCUGCGCCUCUUUCAAUCUGUAUCCCAGUUUGUGCUAGCCAUCUUAUGGCAACUUGUUUAACUUAUGUCUGUACUCAGAUAUUGUUGCUUCCGCUGACUCGUUUAUGUCGAGCACUUGUAUUCGAGCCCUCGAGGCCCCUGGCUUGUAAUAUGAUGCUUGUAUGACUUAUUUUACUUUUAGAGUUGUGUUGUGAUAUCUUCCCGUGAGUCCCUGAUCUUGAUCGUACAUGUUUGCAUGCAUGAUUAGUGUACGAUUAAAUCGGGGGCGUCACAAGUUGGUAUCAGAGCCGACUGCCUGUAGGAAUCCCCCUUCCAAACUCCUUGGCCGAAGUUGAG
rnacentral:lncRNA from 1 species